rnacentral:lncRNA from 1 species
CGUUUCUGCUUUGAACUGAAACGUUUUGGCUUUCCAGCAGAACCGAAAGUAUUUUGAGAUUGUGGAUGAACUGCAACCGAAAGAUAUGCCUCCUUUAGGCCCAAUUUUGUCAUGUAGUACCCCUGUUGUAGGCAGGUUUUUAUCGAGGAAAGAUGUUCCAUCUGGAAAUGUUAUGUUUCUAUGUAUUGAUUCAGUGAGCUUAGAUCUAUAACCGAUCUCAUACCGCCGUCCUUCUUGGGGACUUGGCAAAGGGGACUUUGCAAAUUGCCCCCUUCGUUAACAGGUCUGACACCUCCUUUUACAUAAAUAAGUGUUUCUGACUCUGAACGGACCUGAGUCAUUUUUUUUUUUUGUU